CCGCAGCAUGCACGAGAGGGGAGUGCUGGCAGCAGUCACCCCGGUGUGAUGUUCAUUAACUUCCUCAGCCUCUGCUCUUUCCUCUUCUGAGCAGCAGAGGGAAGAAAGCUUGCUAGGAGGCUGCAAAGAGAGCAAGAAGGGUUCCAGGCUGACAGGAGCCAUGGUGGGACAGAGCAUUUUGAAGUACGAAAGCAUUUUGCCACAACUUUCAGCCAUUCUUUCAUCUAUCGAGGAAUUACAGGUGAAGAAAACUGUGAGGAGGAGGAUCCCAUGGAAGGCAAAGCUGAGAAAUACUCCUCCAAUGAAAUACCCACUUAUCUUUCCCUGCUGAACUCCCAUCUCCAAGAUCAUCACUAUCAGCACAGUGUGUCUGGUACUGGGGAAGAAGAGGUCAUUCUGUAGUCACUCCACGUCUUCUCUCGCCCUGUUUUACAAAAAGGAACAGAUGAUAAAAGCUUAUUUCCUUGUUUCCAAGUCCUACUCAGGAGACCCACAUUUACUUUUUGCUGUGCAUUGGGAAUGGUAAAAAGGAACCUGAUGGUGUGGGAUGAGUCCCCGCAAAGCACUGCCAAACCACUGCUGGGGCAAAAUCCAGGCACUUGUGUCAACUUCUCGAGUCACAGCUCCCAGAUCCGGAACAGAGCGUGAUGUUCUGGUGCUGCUGAGCAUUUCUUUUGCAGACCUUUCCUUUUCUAUUUCUUCUGAUGGGGUUAGUUUUAUCCAUCAGAGCUACACACGAGGACCUUAGUCACCUUCCUGCUUGGAAUUCUGCUGGAGGUGGUCAAGCAGCAAGGGUUUGCACCAGGAGUAUUAGGUAGGGCUCUGCUGCUUUUUGAAAAACUCUUCUUAAAGUCUGCAGUGAGUCUAUGGAUCAGCGGUGUUCGGGGAGUAAUAGGAAUGAUUAGUGCAGCAUUGAAAAUCAAUGUCUGCUGGGAAUGUUUCAGCAGUAAACAGAGGGCAAUUAUCUGAAAAGAGGACUCAAGGAGCACUGCUGUGUCCUGUAAAUAUUACUCACAGUAAGGAAUGUGGGGCCCUUCCCAUACAACGUCUGCUUUUACCUCCCACGAAGGUGUCAGAGAGCUGCAGUGACAGUAUGUGGGGAGGUUUUCCCUCAUUAGCCUUCUGCUAGGGCUGGGAUUUGUCACCAUUAGGAAAUUUGUUGUGUGUGUGUUCCUGCCUCGUGGGGAGCAUUUCUAUCUGAUCACAGUAAGGCCCUCAGCCCAUGGAAGCUUUGCCAGCCCUCAGCCCAGGAAUGUUGUUGGCACUCAAUGCCAUCAGCCCAGGCGCCAGCAAAUCUCACCCUUCCUCAUCUCCAGUUUUCUGAAGACAACCGGAAAGUGCUGGGGCUGCAGUCGGGACAAGUUCAGCAUCAACUCCAAAAUCUCUUUCUGAAGAUCUUUCCUCUUUUAAUAAUUCACCCUGACAACAUCUGCAUUGAGGUGCUGUCUCCGGUUUGCGAGUAAUGCCAAAAGAAAGCUGUAUCAGACAGAGAUGAGAUGUUUGAUUGCGAGACAGAUUACCCAGUGGCCUGAAACAGGAUAAUGCUGCGAGGGAUUGAGUCUGCUUCUAAGGCAAAGUCCAACUGAGGCAAUUUGCAGGCCUGAAUGCUUACAUGAAUUCAUUUCCACAUUGCUUCUUGUUUCUGGUGGGUGAGGGAGAGGGAAAAUCUGUCGAAAAUCUGUUGCUGCUCUCACAUCUGAGGAUAUUCAGUAGUCAGAGGCCACUGAGUAUGCAGGAACUAGUCACUGGGCUGUAGGAGAUGAUCGUAGAAUUCUUUGAGUUGGAAGGGACCCAUAAAGGCCACCUGGUCCCACUCCCUGCAAUGAACAGGGACACCCACAGCUCCAUCAGUGCUCAGAGCCCCUCCUGCCUGACCUUGUGUAUCUACAAUCUGGAAGGAGAAAUUGUGAAGCCCAGUGUAGAUCCACGCGAAGGUAGGUCUGGGUAUUACCCCCUUGGUGUCCUAUAGUGUAUUGUUUUCACCUUCUGGAGAAUAUCUUCUGAACACUUACUUUGCUUUUACCAGCAAGGGCAGAAGGACGUGGCAAGGUGUGGGGAAGGGAAGAUAAGACACUACAAUUUUAUUUCCAGUCCUGUGAAAAUCUGCACAAGAGCUAUCAGAAUGGCCUUUUUUUCCCCUUUUGUUCCUCCAGUGCUGAACUGCACUGUACCAACAGCUUUUAAUCCUUCAGUCUUUAUGUUAUUCAGUCAUUUGCUGAAAACCUUCCUAUUACACCUUCAGUUUCUCAGGGCUGUAGCCAUCACUCCCAGCAUCGUACAGCUAGCUCUCAGAGAAUCUUAUCUGGUCUUUGGCGAUUUCUAUUCUGUUUCUCAUUAUAGUCUGUAAUGGAGCUUUUUGCUCCAAUAUUUUACACUUCAACCAUUUAGAUUUGUGUUUCUGAAUCAAGGUAUCACUUGUUCCCCAGAGGCUAUGGGACCUGGAUGUGUGAACUUGUUAUUUCCUGAUGACAAUGUUACACAAUGCUUGCCCUGGCUUAUGCUAUAGUUGAUAUCUCCCAAUAUCUUCCAGUCCCGUAGUGAAGAAGAAAAGAAAGCAUACGAUAAGCUCAUCUACGAAAGGAUCUUGGUGCUCCAGAAAAAGGCAGAUGGAAUAUUGUAUAUGAAAGGCUCUAAUUUAAUAAGUGGCACUGGAGGAAACAGAGAAGAAAAAGCCAUUUAGGAUUGGAAAUAGAGAAGUAGAAACCAUUUAGAACUGCUGAAAUUUCUGCUUCCAUCGAGAUCAGCGGCCUGAGCUAGCACUUUGAACUUCUCCACAUCACCUCUCUUAGCUGUAGCUGUCUGUUCUACAGCCCUCUACCACUGUGCAGAGAUGGAGGUUUGCCAUCAUCCUGCCAUUUAUUAAUCAGGGAGGUUCUUUCUCUUUUUCAUUCUAUUUUCUCUUUUCCAUCCUCUUUAGGAGAUGUACAUUACACUGUAAUGGCUUCACAUGGUGACCAGUCAUUCCUAUUUAUAGUGGAUAUUGUCUGCAUGGAAUUAGUAGUCUGUAAAAUUCUCACAAAGCAGGCACUGUUGAAUAGACAUGAAGCUUGUUUUAAACAAAUGAAGGGAUAUUAAGCAAACAAUGGAAUUUCCAGACAGCUAUUUGAAAUGAUAAGGAACUGAUGGAAUUUUACCUGCACAGGUAAAGCAAAUCAGCAGUAAUUAUACUUGUCUAGCCAGAGGGGUGAGGAGGUUUGGAGGUGGAAAACCACGAUACUUGAAACCUCUUUUAAAGACACAGAGCUUGGCUGAUUUCCAUGGUUUGGAGUAUCUGCAAGUAAUUGUCUGCACUGUUAACUAAAUAAGAGUGUACAGAUUCUUUUCUGUUGGGAUUUUUCUACAAAAGAGAUGUUUUGAGACUUUGUAAUGAUGUCCCAGUUGGAAGUUGGUUUCAUGAGACACGUUACUCAUGGGAAAAGGAAAUCCUGUGAAGUUCAAGGGAAUGUAAAAAUGAAGAGCUCUCAUCAGCAGAAGAAACCUGGCAGCAGAAAGUUUGAAUUCAUCCCAGUGGUCACAGAGUGGCUCAGUAAACAGCUGCAUCUUCUCUUCCUUUGUUCUGAUUUAUAUGGCUGUGUAUUGGUCACAGGAGACACCACCACCAUAGCUGCAGGCAGUGAUGUACAGCAGCAGAUGAGUCUCAAAGACCCCAUGGAAGCUGAUUUCAGUUCACUUGUGCCUUCCCCUGGAUCUGCAUGUGUUUUGGACCCCUCAGCACGCAGAACAGUGAGGCACUGCUCCAGGAGCAGGCUCAGUCUCCUGCAAUUUUAUAUCUUCCCUUCUGCUCGCAAUAACAACCAGGAAACGUGAAGGCAUGGGGAAAUGAAAGCCAGUGAGAAUGAAAUUGCAACAUCUGGGUUUGCUUUGGUGUCGAUUCAUACUUUAUCUGCCAUUCCCAGUUGUCCUGCACCUUGUGUUCACAGCGCCACGUAGACAGUGCCGGAAUAACACUUGAAAUUAUUAUCUGACUAUCAAGAGCCAUGCUCUGUAGCCAGCAUUAGCCUGAGCCCCAAAGCCCAAUGAGUUCUCUGUUGGCUGAGCUCAGGGUUGGCCACCAGCAGCAGAGAUAUCCCCUGCUGCUUCAUUAGCAUCCUUGUACCAUCGGUUAUGUGAAGCACUGCCCCUUGUGCAGGGGAGCAUGGAAGGCUGCUGCUGGGCAAUAGGAAAUACUGGAGAGCAGGACUGGUGCAGCACU